rnacentral:rRNA from 1 species
UGGGGAAUAUUGGACAAUGGGCGAAAGCCUGAUCCAGCCAUGCCGCGUGUGUGAAGAAGGUCUUCGGAUUGUAAAGCACUUUAAGUUGGGAGGAAGUGCAGUAAGCGAAUACCUUGCUUUUUUGACGUUACCGACAGAAUAAGCACCGGCUAACUCUGUGCCAGCAGCCGCGGUAAUACAGAGGGUGCAAGCGUUACUCGGAAUUACUGGGCGUAAAGCGCGCGUAGGUGGUUCGUUAAGUUGAAUGGGAAAGCGCCGGGCUCAACCUGGGAACUGCAUCCAAAAAUGGCGAGCUAGAGUAGGGCAGAGGGUGGUGGAAUUUCGUGUGUAGCGGUGAAAUGCGUAGAUAUAGGAAGGAAAACCAGUGGCGAAGGAGACCACCUGGGCUCAUACUGACACUGAGGUGCGAAAGCGUGGGGAGCAAACAGG